rnacentral:rRNA from 1 species
CUACGGGCGGCUGCAGUGAGGAAUAUUGCACAAUGGGCGCAAGCCUGAUGCAGCCAUGCCGCGUGUAUGAAGAAGGCCUUCGGGUUGUAAAGUACUUUCAGCGGGGAGGAAGGGAGUAAAGUUAAUACCUUUGCUCAUUGACGUUACCCGCAGAAGCAGCACCGGCUAACUCCGUGCCAGCAGCCGCGGUAAUACGGAGGGUGCAAGCGUUAAUCGGAAUUACUGGGCGUAAAGCGCACGCAGGCGGUUUGUUAAGUCAGAUGUGAAAUCCCCGGGCUCAACCUGGGAACUGCAUCUGAUACUGGCAAGCUUGAGUCUCGUAGAGGGGGGUAGAAUUCCAGGUGUAGCGGUGAAAUGCGUAGAGAUCUGGAGGAAUACCGGUGGCGAAGGCGGCCCCCUGGACGAAGACUGACGCUCAGGUGCGAAAGCGUGGGGAGCAAACAGGAUUAGAUACCCGCGUAGUC